GGGCUGUUGGUCUAGAGGUAUGAUUCUCGCUUUGGGAUUCCCACGAGCUCUUCUGCGAGAGGUCCCGGGUUCAAUCCCCGGACAGCCCC